GCCUUGAGAUGAAUAUGACAAAGAUUCUAAUAAUUUUGGUCAAAGAAAAUGAUGAGUAAAAAAUACAUGAAGAUUGAAGUGGUGACAAAUGAUCUUUUAAGUAUUCUAAUUGGUCUUUCUCGUUCAUAUCUACAGAAAUUGCAAAUCCUGAUGGUCCUGAUUUGUAAGUGCACCCAGUCAGCUUUCUCUCUUUCACUCCACAGAAUAUGCCUGUUAGAUUUGGAACGAAGAAUAAGCCCCCAAAAUGUUAAAAAUAGACUACUGCCCUGGCAGGAAAUUUAGCAUUGGCAAGCACAGAACUCAGAAGGAACUGAUCUAACAUAAGGAAACAUUCAGAAAAAGAUUUGUGCAUUACGAUCCUGUUCUGACCAUUUUCAGAGCAGUCAAAGGGAAGUGAGAGAGAGACUGAGAGACAGACAGACAGAAAGACAGAGAGAGUGUGUGCAUGUGUAGAUCGCUAACUUUCAGUGUAUACAUUUGAAUAGCUAGUGUUUAAAAAAAAAUACCCAAGAGAUGGAAGGAAUCUGAAGGAGUGCUUUUGAGAUAUUUUAUAUAUUGUUAUCUUACACAAAUGGAAAACACUUAAAAUGUUGAUACUGGAAAAAUGAAAGUUUCACCAAAAAAUUCUACAUUAUUUAUAAGAUGUGCCAACAAUAAGACAGAGAAAAUAUUAGUUUAUCUUUAUUCUUUUUAUAGGAAACUUAGAUUUUAGUCUGUGACCUUUCCUUAAAGGAGAAUUGCUUUUAUCCAUUCCUAAAAUGGUUUCCUUACAGGACGAAAAAUUACAGUUACACUUCAUUCUAGUUUCAUUAAGGAAAAGAAGAAUACAGUCUUCAAAUUGCUUGAAAAAAAUAUAAGCGAGCAAAGGGAUAUAAAUUUAGAAAGGAAACCCAAGAACAUCCCUGCCCUCGCAGAAAGCAUCAUGGUGUACUUAGUGACCACAAGCAACCUAGACCUCAGCUUUUACGUCUCUUCUGAAAGAUACCACUUCCAACACAAACGAUAUUUCCCAACCCUGUAGGGCAGCCCAGGAUUGGUGCAGACAUAAAGGGAGAUCACCAGCUAUUGAAUAACCCUUAACCACUUCCUGCAGUCCUGACUGAAGCAUUCCGUGGAGGUCUACCACUUCAUUAUUGAACGUGCUUAGAAAGUGUGAGCUCAUGGGUUUCCGGUUGAAGGUACAGCUAAGCAAGAAGGAAAAGAGAGAAGUACGAACCACCCUUCCCAAUUUGUUUUAACGCUUAAAACACCAUUGCUCAGAGAGUGGGCUUGAGAAUCAUCAGCCUAACUUCUAAGUAGACACUUCUUUUUCUUCUCUGCAUUUUAAUAAAGUGUUUUUAUAUUAUCAAAGCAAUUCCAUGAAAUGGAACAUUUCACUCACUUUAAAUGGUGAAGGAACAUUUGAAAAUACCGUAUCAAAACAAGAAGAGUUCUAACCACAAUAGCUGCUUAAAAUGGACUACCUUAAUUUUAAAAAUGAAAGUUGGAAUAACGAUUUGUACAAAUACUUUUCAAAGAACUGUGAUGAUCCCUUGAGUCAGAUGCCUUCGUCUACAAAUCAGCCUAUAACUGUGUUAUAAACCCCUUUAUGACCUGACCAAACUAAAACGUACUUGGUGUCUACAUUGAAAUACUCAAAAACCUUGUUCUCAUCCUUCAGUAAAACUCCCCUAUGAAUUGGUAGGAAGAACAUCUUGAUGUUUGUAACACUUAGAAAAAUAAAAGCAGUUACUUAAGCUACCACUCACAUCUUACAGGUGAGGAAACUGAAGUCUGUAUAGCCUUGGGACCACGCAGGUUGUUUGUCUGUUUAUCCCACAGUGAUCUAGAAAGCAGUUAAGCACAGGCUGCCAGAGCCCCGGUGUCCUGACAAUGCUCUCUACAACACAUCACAGUAAAAUGCUUCUUCAGAUGGAUAUGGAAACAUCAAAAGGAGUGAGGUUGUUUCCCCCAAUCCUGCAAGAAGUUCGUUCUGGUCUACAGGAACUCUUCCAUGCAAGAGAGGAAUGAAAAUAAGCUACUUUGGAAACCCUCUAUUACUCUAAGAUGUCGCACCAGCAUCUGAGGGCUGUUAACCACGUCUGGACUAGAGUCUCCUUUCACUGAGAGCCAGAGAUUCUCAAUUUUGAGAAAUGCUCUUUAAAAAUUACUAGCUGCUGUUCAUACAUUUUACCCACUAGUUGGUCCAAGAUUUUUGACAAUGCUUCUGUCCAUUGAAUAGUGAUGGCUUUAUCGAGUCCCUGCACCCACAGUUUUCAGCCUGAACCCACUGUGUGAGUGCUUGGGGCCAUUCUUUCUCUAGCCGCUGCUUUUCUGAGUGCCCCCGUGCACUGAAAGGCCCAGGGGUGGUCAGAGGAAGAAACAAGGUGGAACAGGAGCAAUUGGAGAUUCCUAGAUCUGCAACAGGAAAGUUGGAACAGGCGGAAAUAGAUGGAAAAAAAUCAGAGAGUGGAGGAAUCUCGAGCCUCUCUCAUCUAAAGCCCUGGCUUUUCACAUUCUGGGGCUCAGAGGGGAAAAAAAGCCCAUGUCAUCUGGUAGUUAUCGGCAGAGCGGAGACCAGAAGCCAGGUGUCCAGCUGCGGCGAGCAUGCCUUAUCACUGCUGUUGAUGCUUCUACUACUCCUGUGAUGCUUCUAGUCCACUUAGUGGCCCUAAAAAUAAGAGUAAUAAUUAACAGUUUCAGCGGUAACAGUUGUUCAAUUUACUGAGUGCCUACCCUGCAUGAGGCACACUCAAUACUGUAGGAUAUACGAAGAUGAACAAGGCAAGAUUACUGGCCUUAAGUUUCUUAUAACUGCCAGAGAUAGAGAAGUAGAAUACUGAGUUCCAGGUUCUGUAAGGAAUGUACCAGUAUGAAAGUCCCCAGCAGUCUCCCUUUUAUACCUUAGUGUUUCUUCUUUUUAAGCACAAAAUAACAUCAUUUCCCUCAAUAACGUGCAUACUGGUGAGUGAUGCUACAUAAGAAAUACUGCUCUCCAUCCCAGGGAUGCAGUGGUGGACAGUAUUCCCACCAUAAAGUACCUACACUCUAGCAAAGAAGGUAGACAACAGGACAAGUGUAUAAGAUCACUUCACAUAAUGCCAAGGGUUUUGUUAAAAAUGAAAGAAGGUGAUGUAACAGUGAAUGAGAGGGAACUGGAGGACAGCGACCUCAGCUUGGGGGCCAGGGAGGGGAGUGUCAGGGAAAAUCUCUUUAAGGCUGUGGUGUUUGAGUUGAGUCUGAGGGAUGAGAAGAAGUGAGCCAUGGGAGGAUGUGGAGGGAGAGUGUUCCAGGAACAGGGAAUAGCAGGUGCAAAUACCUCAGGCAGGAACGAGUUGGGUUCUUUGAUAAUAAAAGCAUCAGUCUAACAGAGCAUGUAGAGAGGGAGAAGGGUGGAAGACGGAGGCAGACGAGUAAGAAAACACGUCUCAGCCGUGCAAGUGAUUUGCAGUGCGAUCUCCUGUAGGCGAGCACCCAAGAACAGCUGUGCAGAUAAAAUGCAGGGAAUUUUCAGGAAUGAGGCUCCUUAGGUCCUUUGGUCUAAUGUCAUGUUUUCAUAGGCAAGAAAACUGAAUUUAUUCAUCUGUGAGGUUUACACUGUUGGCGUCAGGAGACGUGGCUUAUCAUUCCCAGUGAAUAGCCUGGAAAUGAACUUAGCAACCUGUUCGUGGCCUAAUCGUGAUUUCCUCCCCCGUAAAAGGGGCAGUGACCUUCUACGUCCCUCCUCCUGAGUUUAGAAUGGGAGAAAUCUCAUUUCUAACACUUUCGCAAAGCCACCUGCCUUGUAUCUGGUCACAGGCAGAUCUGUCAGCCUGGAAAACAGAAACGGUUUGGGCCAAAGGAAAUUUGUAUUUUGGAAACAGAAGCACCAGAUCCGGCACGCCGGCGGCCACGGUGGCACGUUACCCUGAAAGCACCUUCCUCCGCUCAGGCCCCAGUUAGCUCCAGAUAGCUGUGCUAGAAUCAGGCCUGAGCAAGGGCCCCAGCCAUUUCCCCUUCCCCUGAACUUCUGAAAAACACAGAAACUCGCAGAGCUGCGAGAGGAGCCAAUAAGAAGUAAGGAACAUGCAGCAGGUGGUACCAUCUGUGCCCGGCUAAUUCCAGCCAAAACAAUCUGCUCCCUAGAGCUCCCAGUUGUGGAGAAGGGAAGAGGAUCCGACAGUGGCGGGGCCGGGGAGGGGGUGUAGCGGCGCAAGUGCCGAGGCUGUUAUUCCAGCGUUCAGCUGGUCGGGGAAGUAGAUUAUUGAUGCCAGUGAACGAUUAUCUCUCUUCUUUUCUCUUUACAACCACUGUGGGAGAUUCUUCCGAAGCCUCACUAGCUGGCAAGUACCAGAUCCCACACCUGUGAGACAGACACGUAGGCAUCCCUGGGAGUCUGUCGCCACUGAGAUGGGAGGGACAGACACUCCCCAGCAAGACGCGGACACACAGCCCCCUCACUCCAAGAUGGAAAAACAAGGUCGUCUGAGUCUAUCUCCUCCCCAGGUCGGGUUCCCCAGGCUUUGCUUGGCCCCCUGACCCUCCUUCCUCUCCCAGGACUGUGUUUCCCCUGCCUCUCCUUUGCCUCCCGGCAACCUAAGCAGAACAAUACUGGAAGUGGAACUGGCAGUGUGACAAGAGGGAGAGCAACUGGAAAGAAAACUUUACUCAUCGAGAAAGAGGCAAGUAUCUUAAAAAUAUCUGUGGGAAGGUGUUUGCUAAAUCAUCUGCUUCUGCAGAUGUGGAAAUUUCAGUACUAUGGUUUCCCUUUCAGUGGAGGUGGGUAAGAAGCGCCUUCUUGGGCUGGAAGACUGAGCAGAUGCGAGGAAUUACAGACCUCAGUAACUUAGCCUUGAAUAAAAUUCAAGAUUUCCCCCCCUUUAUUCAUGCUCUUUCUUUCUUUCUGAAAGCCCUGUUGCAGGAAUUCAAAGGGCCAGGUUCUGCCCUCGGCUGUGAGUCAUGACUCCCACCAAAGCCAGGAGCUCACAUACGCUUCUCAGAUCCCCCAGUCCCAGGAGAGGUUUCCAGAGGGCAGACAGGAGUGGCUAGGCACCUCUGGCUUUUUCUAAUAUCAGCCCUGGAAUGUGGCACCUUCUCUGCCCAAGCACAGAUCUACCUGCUGGCAAAUUCCUUUCCUGGGGCUUGUUCUUGUCCUUCAUUUUACUGCCUGAACACAAGUGGAAAUGUCUUUCUACACUUCUUAACAACAACUACUCCCUAGGUGCCCAAAUGCCAGGAUUCAGAGUUCAUUCUCACUGUGCCCAUUCUCUGUUCUUUGUUUUGUUUUGUUUUAUUUUCUUGGCCUGAAACUUGACACUUUGGCUCAUAUGGUAAAAUUAUGCCUAUGUUUGUUUCUGUGUAUAAAGAGGAUUAGCGGAACCAAUAUUAAGCAAACAAACAAAACAACAAACAAAACUUUGUAACAUUGACAUUGCUUAUAGAUAGUAGAGAAUGAAGGA